UACGGGGGGAGCAAGCGUUGUUCGGAUUUACUGGGCGUAAAAGGCAUGCAGGCGGUCGGACGCGUUUCGGGUGACAGCGGGUGGCUUAACUACCCGAGUGGUCGAAAGACGGUUUGACUUGAGGACGCGAGAGGGACACGGAAUUCCGGGUGGAGUGGUGAAAUGCGUAGAGAUCCGGAGGAACACCGAAGGCGAAGGCAGUGUCCUGGCGCGUAACUGACGCUGAGGUGCGAAAGCCAGGGGAGCGAACGGG
rnacentral:rRNA from 1 species